CUCUCUCUCUCCUUCUCUCUCUCUCUCUUUCUGUGUUUGUUACCACAUCAAGCGGAUGAAACAAUAAGAAAAUAUUAGAAACUACGUGAUAUGAGAACAUUUUUUUUUUUAAAAGAUGUUAUAAUCUAUUAGAUACAAUGCUUAUCAGCAAGUGUUUGAAUAAUUACUAUACUCUUAACUCACUCGGUUUACUUUCUGCUUCUUCUUCUUCUUCUUCUUCUUCUUCUUCUUCUUCUUCUUCUUCUUCCUCUUCUUCUUCUUAUUCAUCAUCAUCAUCAUCAUCAUCAUCAUCAUCAUCAUCUCAGACGUUUCUCGUCGGCGCCUCGUGCGUGCCAGAGACGAGGAGCAGAGUUUUGCAAGAUGCGAAUUCAGCUCUUACGUUUGAGGGAGCCGUCGUACCGUCAAGCGACGAUUGCGUAUUCCAACUUCUUUCGUCGGAACUGCAGAACGAAAAGCGCGAGUUACGUAAAGUUGAAAAUAAAAAAAAAAAAAAAAAAAGGAAAAAUAAAGAAAACUUACGAGACGUUUGAAAAGCCCGCUAAAGGAAGAAGAUAAAGUAUAGUGAGAGUGAAAUAGAAAGAGAGAAGAGAGAGAGGAGAGGAGAGGAGAGAAGAGAGAGGGAGGGAGAGAGAGAGAGAGAUAGGAGAGCAAAAACCACCGGCUACCACCUUGUACGUCAACAUCAAAAUGAGGAGAACAUCGUACGAUAAAACGUCUCGUUGUACCGAUGCCAAUACCGCAACGCGGAAUUAAUUGGCCGCUUGGAAGGGAACCAAUUCUUGACGCCAAAAAAGCUUCAUCAGUCCUUCGCGUCGUUCGAACUUUCCCUCUAACUCUUUGGCUCUAACUCACCACGAGACAUACUCGUGCUUCGAAAUCCAAGGUCCAUCAAUGCUCAAGAUCCAAUAACGCCAAGCGCAACGUUCUAACGACCAAUACAUCCUACGGAAAAACGUUUGGCAACUUGAAGAAUGUGAAUCAGAAGUAUAGUAGUUUUCAGAGUUACGAGAGUUUGCAAGAAAAGAAUUAUUUACAAAGGAGUAUUUCUGCGGACAAUGUGAUACGAUCACGUGGUUACAAACCUUCAGACAGGCACGACCCCGUCAAAAGAAGCUUUCUUGAGAAUCUUACUUCGAAAAUACUCCAUUUCGAUAUGGAGAGCGGCGAAAGAACUCCAAUCAAUCUUCAAAAACUGCUUACACCGGCUUCCGAUUCGCAUGAACCACUGCAAGCAAAAAAUAAAAAAAUGUUUGCCUCUUCGUAUUUUUACGCACCCACACAUCCUACUGUGGAGGAUCAAGUCGAAUUGGCACGUCGUAUUUCUUUAUCUCUGAGUGAUGUUAAGAAUAUGAAGAGCAAAGGGCAAUCGAUGUAUGUAAAUCGAAAGAAACGAUCCGUCAAAUGGAUCCACGAUGGUAAUGGUACUGAAGGCGAAGAGGAACCAUCUUCUCCUAUGCAUAAGGAUAAAGUACCUCUGAAGUGUGUAAUGAAUCCACAUGGGAAAGUUUUGGAUAUUCAUGGGAUUCAGGCUCUGGGUGAAGAAGUCAAUAUCGAGCCUAUGCCCUCGCAUCCUGAAAAACUCUUCGAUAUUGUUCGUGAUCUUAAUAAUCAAAGAGGACGUGGUGCUGAAAUAUUUGCAAAGCGUCGAAAAAGAUCCGAGAAAUGGAUCGUCGAUCAGGAUCAAGCUCAAAUACCGAGUACACCUGGUAUACCAAAGACACCUGGUUAUUCCUAUCAAUCGGAAAUGAACGGUAACAACAAGUUUUCAACGUUGCAAUCACCUUAUGCACAAACGGACAAAUCAUUUUAUAAUCCAUUCGCAGUGGAUCUUUCUUUAGAUAACAUCAAUCCACCAAUGACGGGCAGGUAUCAUCAUCACCAUCGUCAUCAUCAUCGAUCCUGUCAAUUAACUAACGAUUGCAAUCAUUCAACGCAAAUAAAAAAAAUUUAUUUGAGAGAAGUGGCCGUCGGCACCGACACCGACUUUCCUAUAGAAAAAACCGAAUUGAAUAACGACGCACGUCGUAGCAACGGCUUCAAUGGCGUCAGAUCAAACAACGCUAACGUUGAAAGGCGCUCUAACAAAUUGCUCAAUGGCAAGACUAACGCUAACAAUAUGCAAAUCGCUACUAACAAAGAGACUAAGACUAACAGCAACAGAGAGAUCAAGCAACGUCUCAGCAAUAACUUUUCCCAGGAUGUUCUUCUUAACGAUAGAAACAAAUUUAGAAAUAAACAACAAGCUGUUAAACGUGAGGAUGAUGUUGCAAGAUUCUCUGACAGCGAUGCUAGCGAGUAUACACCGGUUCCUGUUAAACAACUGAUCCAAGAAUUUGAGAAGACUUGUAGACCGGUUUUACAAUAUAAACAAAUCAGUCCAAAAGUUAUUCCUAUUGUUCAACAAUGUCCUAUUGACACCGAUAUAACACGUUUCUUUCAAACUAGAACUUCUGUUAAAUAUGAAGAAGAAGUACCAGAAGAUGACGAGGAGGAAGACGAUGAGGAAGAAGAAGAGGAAGAAUAUAUACGCAGACGGUCGAAUCGUGAGACUCGACAGGAUAAGCAAGUUAAUAAGCCACAGCCAAGAAUCGAGAAUGGAUAUAUGUCGACCGAUGAUACUGAGUACACGUCCGAUUCGGAUUCUUUAAGAACUUAUGACUUCAAAGAUUACAAGGAUUACAAAAAUGAGACAUCGAUGUAUCGUUAUGAAAAAACUUCUUCAAAUCGGAAUGUCAAUGAAAAUGGAGAUUAUCCAGGUUUAUUUAACGAUGAAUAUUCUCAACGACGAAGAUCAGCGACGUCUCAAGAAUUAGAAUCAUACUGUAAUGGAAAUGUUAAAUUUGUUAACGAGGAUUCUGAGUUACCAGCACAAGCGAAAUCCUUGUUACUUUCAAUGGUCGCUUCACAGGAUGACAUACUACAAACUAUAAAACACCUUCGCAAUACACCAGUCCUGGAUAAUCUUUUACCUGGUGUCUCACCAGAACUCAAAUUUACUGAUUCUUAUCCGGAAGUAGGAACGAAAUUAUACGAGGAUAAUACAUACAAAGGACCAAAACUGGCCAGUAUUCAUAAUUUAACUAAUUAUAAUACUGCACCACGUGGUUGGGAUCAGUCAUUAACUUAUUAUCGACCAAUCAAAUUUGAAAAGUCACAGGACACGAUUGUUUAUUCCGAUUUUUAGAUAUUUAUACAAUGUCUGCCACUUUUUCCUCCGACAGCCGAGUGAUAUAACUACCAUGUAUACAAAGCGAUCAUAGGAAACCAUUCUGUGGAAAUAUCGAGAAUGAAGGAAAGAAAA